ACAGGGAAUGACAUUGUCCAAGUCACAGGAUGACCAUUCUGAGGACAUGUAGAAAUACAGGUCUAAGUCCCGCCAGGCAUAAGGACCAGUCAUUAACUUCGUGCUCUUAGAGGGAUGGUUGCAAUCCAGGAUGGAACGGACUAAACUUUACAUCAAAAUGAAAGCAAAUCAAAAGUGUCAGCUAUCAGAGCUCACAGUCAUCCACCUUCCUUCACGCCCAACACACUUUGUGUUCUCACUUUCUAGAUGCUGUUUCAAAUACCCUAGAAAUGGCCUAACCUUUACAGUGUGGAGCUAUCGCUUUUAAGGUGUCAAGUCUUGUUAAGGGUCCAUGUAUAAACUGAAUCAUUAUCUUCCCGAAAGCAAGAGAGUGCAGCUUCUGAGGAGACAAUGAGUAAAAUUCAUAAGCAAGCAAGCUAGCAAGCAGGCAGGCAGGCAGGCAGGCAGGCAGGCAGGCAGGCAGGCAGGCAGGCAGGCAGACAAGCAAGCAUCUCUCUGCUUAGCAUGCAUGAGGGCUUAGGUUUGAUCCUCAGGGCACAAUCUACUCCCCUAUCAAACUGGUUUACAUUUCAAAUGGAAGCAAGCUCCCAUCUAGAAGUGAGACUUACUGAGAAGAGCUAUAUACCCAUUUUUGAGGUCCCAUGGGUUAGAUUACAUACGAUUUACUAUUGAUUUUGAACUCCCCUUAAAGCCAUUGGAAUACCAAGGCAAUGUCUGGAGACAGCUCUACAAAAUGCUCAUACUAUUAUAACAACACUUCAUGAGCGUCUACCAGCUAUCAUGUCAGAUCAUCAUAUUAGGUUUUAUUUCUUACCAAAUUUAGUGCUAUAUCUAACCAACUUAUAGAGUGAAGGCUUUAAUCUCCUUUGUGAACUGGGGCUGAAAAGAGAAUUCAUAUUGCUCACAAUUGUACAAAUGAGAGCUAGCUGUGGUGACUUAGCCCUAUAAUCCCUCUUGGGAUUAAGACUUCAAGACCACUCUCUGCCACCUGGUACGAUCAAGACUAGCCUGGGGCUGCAUACACCCUUGUUUCAAAUCAACCAAUCAAUCAAUCAAACAAACAAAAACACACAACUGAUAUUUGGUGUGAGAGGCUUAAGUUCAGUCUUUUGUCUGUCCACACCAUUCCAGUCAUCCUGACGGUAUUCAGUAUUUAUUAAUUUUUUCUUUUCCUUGUAAUUUCUUAAUUUGAAUCCUAGGAUAUGCACCUAAAAGAGGCUGAAGAGAUUUACUUUUCAAACCGAAGUUAAUUUGGGAGAAUGAUAUCAACCUAGGCCCGGUCUUUGAACCUGAUUCCAGAAACUGCCAGUAAAGUUGACGAUCAUUCCAAGUUGACGAUCAUUCCUUGACAACACAGUCAAGUUCUGUCCUGCAUUGGAGUAUGUUGCUUCAAAUUACUGUUCAACUUGGACAUAAGAUGGAAAUCUAGACAAGGUGAAGGACUUACAAAUCACCACAAGCAUUCCUCUGAACUUCCAAAUCCAGUGAAGAGGUGAAGCAAGGACGAGUGUCUCUCCUCCAUCUGGGCUUUCCACUAUCCCAUUCGUUGGCCUAGGUAACGAAGGAACCAAAAUGCUGCCGCUGCCCCUUAGUCCUUCCCUGAGCUCUCAGUGACACCUUCAGAUUCUUUUCAUUUGAAUCAAGUGUAUUUUUAUGAAUACGAGAAAAGGCUAAAAGACUAUUAGUUCUGUAUAAAAUCAUGGUGUGGAGAAGCUGCCAUUUUCUAACUAUUUUUUUA